GCGUUGUGCGCAAAGGCGUGGACCCGCGGGUGUUUCACAGACUCACGCUAGAAAGUCAUCGGGUUGAAAGGUGCUCCUUUCUUACUCCAGGUCAUUGUGCCUGUAUCAGAAACAGCAUCCGGUGAAUGUUUCUGCGUGUAGAAACUCACCUAAAGAAUAUUCAGGAACGAAAA